ACAAAAUCCACCCUCCCUCCACCAAAAUCUUUGUAGAAUGGAUUAUAUAUCUCCAUAUUUUAACACCACCAUAGCAGCAGCAGGCGUCUUUGCCUUGCUUAUCCUCCCCUACUAUCUACUAAGAAAAUGGAAGUCUAGAGCUUCCAAGGGCAUACUAGCACCCCAACCACGAGGCGCAUGGCCUUUAACUGGUCAUUUGUCUCUGUUAUCAGGAUCCCACCCUCCUCAUGUAACAUUGGGUGCACUCGCUGACAAAUAUGGUCCAGUCUUCACUAUACGAGUCGGGGUUCACCCUGUUCUCGUGGUGAAUAGUUCGGAGGUGGCUAAGGAAUUAUUCACGGGUGCUAAUGACGUGAUUGUGACCUUCCGUCCAGCACUGGUAGCCGCAGAACUUAUGGGCUACAACUAUGGUUUGUUUCCUUUCACCCCUGGUGGUCCAUAUUGGCGCGAAACGCGCAAGAUAUCCACCUUUGAACUUCUCUCCAACAGGCGGCUUGAGCUUCUCAAGCACAUUAGAAUCCAGGAAGUGGAAACUUCCAUAAAAGAGUUGCACAAAGCAUGGGAGGACAAAAAGGUUGUUGAUAUGAAGCAAUGGUUCAGUGACUUAAAUUUGAACGUCCUUCUUAGGAUGAUUAUAGGCAAGAAAUAUUUUGGUGGUGGUGCUGUUGGUGACGAGAAAGAAGGGCGACUGUUCCAGGAGGGGAUAACGAUACUUUUUCAUUAUCUAGGUACGCUUGUUUUAAGGGACGCUGUUCCAUUUCUUGGAUGGAUGGAUGUGGGUGGACAUGAGAAGGUAAUGAAGAAAACUGCUAAAGAACUAGACGAUGCUCUGGAGAAAUGGCUACAAGAGCAUAAACGGAAUAGGUAUUUGGGUGAAAAAUCUAAAGGAGAUCAAGAUUUUAUGGACGUUAUGCUUUCAUUUCUUGAUGGCAAAAGCCUUGAAGGUUAUGAUGCUGAUACAAUCAACAAAGCUACAUCCUUGAGUAUGAUUGCUGGGAAUGAGACCGUUACAGUAGCUAUGACAUGGGCACUCGCACUGUUGCUGAACAACCAGCCUGUAUUGAAAAAGGCGCAGGAAGAACUCGACAAAAUUGUUGGCAGGGAAAGACUAGUAAAUGAUAAAGACAUCAGCAAGCUUGUUUAUCUCCAAGCCAUAGUUAAAGAAACACUACGCCUCUACCCACCAGCUUUUAUCCCUGGACCUCGUCAAUUCACUCAGGACUGUAAUAUAGGUGGCUAUUACGUCCCAAAAAACACUUGGCUGAUGGUGAACGUUUGGAAGAUCCAAAGGGACCCUCGUGUGUGGCCAGACCCAACAGAGUUCAAGCCAGAAAGGUUUCUCACAACCCAUAAGAACGUUGAUGUCAGGAGUCAAAAUUUUGAGUUGCUUCCAUUUGGAGGUGGCAGAAGAGCUUGCCCUGCAGCAUCUUAUGGACUUCACAUUGUGCAUUUGACAUUGGCCACCUUACUGCAGGCUUUUGAGAUUUCUACUCCUACAGAUGCUGCUGUUGAUAUGACUCCUGGCGUUGGACUAACAAAUAUGAAAACAACCCCUCUGGAAGCUGUAGUCUCGCCUCGCCUGCCUCCAUGUUGUUAUGAAUAGUGAAUGGGAAUCCUGUUGUUAUGAAUAAUAAAAGGGAACCAUUGUAGAAGGAGCAAUAUAUACGUCUCUUGCCACUCCCAAUAUUUGUAUGCUUAAAUAUUUGCCACUUAGCAUAUAUAGGUUGUCCUUUUCUGUAAUAAUUCCUCUAAAUAUAUAUGGUAAGUUUCCUAGUUGACAA
rnacentral:misc_RNA from 1 species